AAGGGCACCACAAGAACGCGUGGAUCAUGUGGCUUAAUUUGACUCAACGCGGGAAAUCUUACCGGGUCCGGACACACUGAGGAUUGACAGGUUAUGGGGCGGGUUGAAUUUCAAUCUCUUCGGGGAUUAAUUUUCUCCCACCUCAAAAAUAUGCUAGUCCUUUCAUGAUUAUGUGAUAGGUGGUGCAUGGCCGUUCUUAGUUCGUGGAGUGAUCUGUCUGCUUAAUUGCGUUUCACUAAAGGCGUCAUUAAUUUUUUGUGCCUGUGUUUGACCCCGCACUUCGGUGCGCGCGCGUCUUUCACACACAAUUACUUUGACGUCUGAAAGCAACGAACGUGACCGUAACCUCUUGUUGCCUUCUCUUCUCUUCGGAGAAUGCUGCUUUAUACCUUCACGGGUGUAUCGCAGUAUACGGAGGCUUAAUACUCAGUAACUAGAGGGACCGCUGUUACUUUCUUUAAACCAGAGGAAGGUUGCGGCAAUAACAGGUCUGUGAUGCCCUUAGAUGUUCCGGGCUGCACACGUGAUACAUUGAUUACUUCAGUGAGUAUCUACGUAUUACUGCGCAGCAGUAUACGCGUGUUGUUUAUUGCUUCGGCAAUUUACUUUGCGCUAUACGCCGCCUUAACCUACUUCGAAAGUAUGUGGGUAACCAAUUAGAAGUAGUGAUUUCCCUCUUUAUAAGCACACUUAUAUGGAGCAUCAUCACCCGGCAUGCCUUGUGCAUGUUUUGUGUGUGUUGUUUGUCUACAUGUGCUUUUGUCAAUUCAUAGUGGGGACAGACCAUUGUUAAUUGUUGGUCUCGGUCUUAACUAGGAAUGCCUUGUACGAGUUUUUGGUUCAACAAACCACUCGGAAUACGUCCCUGCCCUUUGUACACACCGCCCGUCGCUCUUACCGAUGGAUUAUAUUAUGAGUUGGCAGGACCGUCCAGGAAAUGCCUGCGAAUAAUGUGAUCUAAAGGAAAGAGAAGUCGUAACAAGG
rnacentral:rRNA from 1 species